GUUGGCCGAGGUCCAUACCACUGGGCACCUAGAGGAGGUCUCCACGGAGUCACACGAAACUAUUUCCAUGUCCGAGGAUCACGCCCUGGAGCCUGUCACCCAGCUGAUUGAGGAAGACUUCCCACACAUUCCGAAUUCUCAGUGGGCCAUUUUUGGCCCUGACCUUUGUUCGGCCGACACUACGGCCAUAGAGUCCAAAUUUCAGCCCUAUUUUGCCAUAAGCCUGGACUGCCCUCUCGAGGCUCCACGAAAUGGCCCAACUUUUCAGGCGGAUGUGGUGGGAGUCUACCGCCAUCACAGUCGACCAUGUGAUGGUCACCAGUGGUGUAUCUUCUACUAUUCUCACCGACGGAAGUGCACCACCUGAGCCCGUCUUUAUGUUGACCUUGGGGGCUCCUGCUUUGGUGAUCGACGAUAUUCCGUCCGAACUCCAACUUGAGGUUGGAGAGUCUUCAUCCUUUGUUCCAGCCGAGAUCACCAUGAAUCCAUCGGCGGAGGAUGGAAGAAGCUUGGCCAUGGUUCCUCACAAAGAGGCCUCUCUACCAUCUUUUGAUCAGUGCGAUGCAUCUAUAUCUUCGGCAGAGGCUUUCACUCACCUUGCCACUUCUUCCACCACGACCGGGGCCCUUCCAGAUUUUGGGGCUAAUGCCCUACUUCGAUCAUACAUAGAUGGAGAUCUCACGUCCUUGGAGGACAAAGAUGAGAGAAACAAGCUCAAGGCCGCCAUUGAGAGUUUGGCUAGGUCUAGCUUUUUCCUCGAUCCACGCUUGGCGUCUAUGAUCACUUAUCUAUUUGGUUAGGUGGAAAAGUUUGCCCCCCGCCGUUGUCCUAUUUUGGAGGAGCAAAGGAGAGGCAAAGACUUGGAGCAGAGAAUUACCUCAUGUAGUGCCACCAUGCAAUAGGAGGUUGUGGAUAUCGAUGAACAGGUGAGGCAGCUUCAAGAGAGGAAGGUUGGCAUCGUUGCCAAAGUCUCCGAGAUUGUUCGGAGCAAUAGGCCUCUCGAGGCUCAACUAAGGCAGGAUGCGGCAGCAGUGGGAGCGUAUCGAGAGAGGAAGUUGAUGCUUCAGUCUACCUUGUCUGUCGGAGAUACAGCGAUGGAGAGCCUCAGGACUACCCUUCACACCCUUUUCCCUGAUGCUUAGGUUCAUGCUUGGCCAUUGGUUGACCCAAUUUGUACUUAGCUAGUUUCUUUUUAUUUAGUCACCAUAUGUGGUAGAACUAGCUUAGUUUCUAAGCCUUUGGUGGAUGCUUAGGCCAUUACUUGGCCACUUUUUGUAGUAAACUUUUGUCCACCCAUAUAUAUAUAUAUAUAUACAGUCCCCUUCUAUUGAGGGACGCU